rnacentral:rRNA from 1 species
GGGUCAGUGGAAACUGGAAGACUGGAGUGCAGAAGAGGAGAGUGGAAUUCCACGUGUAGCGGUGAAAUGCGUAGAUAUGUGGAGGAACACCAGUGGCGAAGGCGACUCUCUGGUCUGUAACUGACGCGGAGGCGCGAAAGCGUGGGGAGCAAACAGGAUUAGAUACCCUGGUAGUCCACGCCGUAAACGAUGAGUGCUAAGUGUUAGGGGGUUUCCGCCCCUUAGUGCUGCAGCUAACGCAUUAAGCACUCCGCC